UACUUUAAAGGUCGACUCAUAGUUAGGAGAAUGGGUUCUACCUGAGUUUAAAUAACUCUGGGGAUUACAUGACUGCCCUGGGAUCCUGCAACAGGACCCGGAUCCAGGAUGCCAGGCAGUGUUUCCUCAGGAGGUGUGCAGCUGAUACGGCGGCAGUGGCAGAGGUUUUCUAGGAACUAGAAGAAAGGAGCAGCCAUCGAAAACUGGAAAGAAAAAGUGCGAGGAGCAAGAAGAGGUUGUGAUGAGAGGGAGGAGGAGAAAGGAAUGCUAAGUUGUACUAAAGAACAAGAAGAAAAUGAAGGGAGGAAACAAAAGCAAGACACUAUUUUUGGCCAUUCUGAAAUUCUGCUGUGCUGGAGGCAUCUGCAAUAAUAAACACAUUCAUCUCUUUUCCAGGCCAAAUUUGGAUUUCGCCUGUCUUCACUCU